GCCAUCGUGGUGUUGCGGUCAGCAUGCUCGGCCCGCAUUCGAGAGGUCCGUGGUUCGAGUCCCAGCGAUGGCA
rnacentral:tRNA from 1 species